CUAUUUUGAAGUUCAGUCCAGAGUCUGAAACUGGUGUCCAAACUCUCCUAGAUGAAGCGCACUUAAACAACACUUUUAGAGAUGCCUUGAAUCUUGAAUUAGUCAAACCUGAUUCGCUAUCAUCGCUGGAGAAAUUUUGAUAUCUUCGGAGCAUUUAGGACAACACAGCUUACGCCAGAAAUUGAAGUCAGAUUCCUCGGUGGAUACGCUGGUUGUCAUUCCACUUUCCAACAAGCAGCAAAUAUAUUUAGAGACGGGUGGGCAGUCAAAUGUACCAGAGCAGCUGGGGCAUGACAAGACCAAUGGCUCACAUCCUCGAUACCUCUCCUCGUCGUUAGCAGCAGACAAGAGUAAACUGCUAGAAUCAUCAUUAAAAGCUUCAC
rnacentral:sRNA from 1 species